UAGGGAAUCUUCCACAAUGGGCGAAAGCCUGAUGGGGCAACGCCGCGUGUGUGAUGAAGGGUUUCGGCUCGUAAAACACUGUUGUAAGAGAAGAAUGACAUUGAGAGUAACUGUUCAAUGUGUGACGGUAUCUUACCAGAAAGGAACGGCUAAAUACGUGCCAC
rnacentral:rRNA from 1 species